rnacentral:rRNA from 1 species
CACGUAGGGGGCGAGCGUUGUCCGGAUUUAUUGGGCGUAAAGAGCUCGUCGGUGGCUUAGUAAGUCGGGUGUGAAACCUCCAGGCUUAACCUGGAGACGCCAUCCGAUACUGCUAUAGCUUGAGUCCGGUAGGGGAGCGUGGAAUUCCUGGUGUAGCGGUGAAAUGCGUAGAGAUCAGGAGGAACACCCGGGGCGAAGGCGGCCCUCUGGCUCGACCCUGACGCUGAGGCGCGAAAACGUGGGGAGCGAACGGG